rnacentral:rRNA from 1 species
UCUUGCCGUUGAGGGCUUCGGCCUGAGACGGUGGGAGAAAGGAUAGCGGCAAACGGGUGAGUAACGCGUGAGCAACCUGCCCCCAAGACGGGGAUAGCCUCGUGAAAACGAGGGUAAUACCCGAUGUGUUCAGAUGACCGCAUGGCCGUCUGAACAAAGCUGGGGACCUUCGGGCCUGGCGCUUGGGGAUGGGCUCGCGUCCUAUCAGCUUGUUGGUAGGGUAACGGCCUACCAAGGCUAUUGACGGGUAGCUGGCCUGAGAGGGUGGUCAGCCACACUGGGACUGAGACACUGCCCAGACUCCUACGGGAGGCUGCAGUCGAGAAUAUUUAGCAAUGGGCGAAAGCCUGACUAUGCGACGCCGCGUGCAGGAUGAAGGCCUUCGGGUUGUAAACUGCUUUUGUCAGGGAAGAAAGGUUUCCCCUGAAUAGGGGGAAACUCUGACGGUACCUGACGAAUAAGCCACGGCCAACUCCGUGCC